rnacentral:rRNA from 1 species
GAUGAACGCUGGCGGCGUGCCUAAUACAUGCAAGUCGAGCGAACGGACGAGGAGCUUGCUCCUCUGACGUUAGCGGCGGACGGGUGAGUAACACGUGGGUAACCUACCUAUAAGACUGGGAUAACUUCGGGAAACCGGAGCUAAUACCGGAUCAUAUAUUGAACCGCAUGGUUCAAUAGUGAAAGACGGUUUUGCUGUCACUUAUAGAUGGAUCCGCGCUGCAUUAGCUAGUUGGUAAGGUAACGGCUUACCAAGGCAACGAUGCGUAGCCGACCUGAGAGGGUGAUCGGCCACACUGGAACUGAGACACGGUCCAGACUCCUACGGGAGGCAGCAGUAGGGAAUCUUCCGCAAUGGGCGAAAGCCUGACGGAGCAACGCCGCGUGAGUGAUGAAGGUCUUCGGAUCGUAAAACUCUGUUAUUAGGGAAGAACAAAUGUGUAAGUAACUAUGCACGUCUUGACGGUACCUAAUCAGAAAGCCACGGCUAACUACGUG